rnacentral:snoRNA from 1 species
CGACAUGAUGACGUACAACGUGAAAAUACGAAUUCCUAACAAAACGACUGAAGACGCUCUUCUUUCUCAAGAGAGGAAGAAAAGGAGAUGCAUAUUUUCGGUUCUGCUAUGCUCUGACGU